rnacentral:rRNA from 1 species
GAUGAACGCUGGCGGCGUGCCUAAUACAUGCAAGUCGAGCGAACGGACGAGAAGCUUGCUUCUCUGAUGUUAGCGGCGGACGGGUGAGUAACACGUGGAUAACCUACCUAUAAGACUGGGAUAACUUCGGGAAACCGGAGCUAAUACCGGAUGAUAUUUUGAACCGCAUGGUUCAAAAGUGAAAGACGGUCUUGCUGUCACUUAUAGAUGGAUCCGCGCUGCAUUAGCUAGUUGGUAAGGUAACGGCUUACCAAGGCAACGAUGCAUAGCCGACCUGAGAGGGUGAUCGGCCACACUGGAACUGAGACACGGUCCAGACUCCUACGGGAGGCAGCAGUAGAGAAUCUUCCGCAAUGGGCGAAAGCCUGACGGAGCAACGCCGCGUGAGUGAUGAAGGUCUUCGGAUCGUAAAACUCUGUUAGUAGGGAAGAACAUAUGUGUAAGUAACUGUGCACAUCUUGACGGUACCUAAUCAGAAAGCCACGGCUAACUACGUG